rnacentral:rRNA from 1 species
UACAGAGGGUGCGAGCGUUAAUCGGAAUUACUGGGCGUAAAGCGCACGUAGUCGGCUUUGCAAGUCGGUUGUGAAAUCCCCGGGCUCAACCUGGGAACUGCAUCCGAGACUGCAUUGCUAGAGUAUGGGAGAGGGAAGCGGAAUUUCUGGUGUAGCAGUGAAAUGCGUAGAUAUCAGAAGGAACAUCAGUGGCGAAGGCGGCUUCCUGGACCAAUACUGACACUGAGGAGCGAAAGCCAGGGGAGCAAACGGG